rnacentral:rRNA from 1 species
UACAGAGGGUGCAAGCGUUGUUCGGAAUUAUUGGGCGUAAAGCGUGCGCAGGCGGUUCGUUGUGUCCGUCGUGAAAGCCCCGGGCUUAACCUGGGAACUGCGAUGGAAACUAGCGAGCUGGAGUGUGGCAGAGGGGGGUGGAAUUCCGCGUGUAGCAGUGAAAUGCGUAGAGAUGCGGAGGAACACCGAUGGCGAAGGCAGCCCCCUGGGCUAACACUGACGCUCAGGCACGAAAGCGUGGGGAGCAAACAGG